rnacentral:lncRNA from 1 species
UUUUCAUCUGCUUUAGCAGAAGUUUAGUAACUGUGCAGCUGGAGAGACAAGGGGAGACAACCAGCAACAUUUCUCAGGAAAUAUAAAGGGAAAGUAAAACAUCUGAUGCACAUUGUAGAACAGCUUCACUUGGGAAUGAAUGCUAAUGUAGAUUUCUGUUCUCAAAAAGCUCCCUGAGCAAUCACUUCUGUGAACAGAGUGGGGCAUUAAUG